rnacentral:rRNA from 1 species
CACCAGACUCUACGGGAGGCAGCAGUGGGGCCUCUUGCACAAUGGGGGCCCCCCUGGUGCAGCCCCGCCGCGUGCGUGCAGAAGUAUUUCGGUAUGUAAAGCUCUCUCAGCAGGGACGAGCAUGACGGUCCCUGACUAAGAAGCCCCGGCUAACUACGUGCCAGCAGCCGCGGUAAUACGUAGGGGGCGAGCGUUAUCCGGAUUUACUGGGUGUAAAGGGAGCGUAGACAGUUCUGCAAGUCUGAAGUGAAAGCCCGUGGCUUAACCGCGGAACGGCUUUGGAAACUGUGGAACUGGAGUGCUGGAGAGGCAAGCGGAAUUCCUAGUGUAGCGGUGAAAUGCGUAGAUAUUAGGAGGAACACCAGUGGCGAAGGCGGCUUGCUGGACAGUAACUGACGUUGAGGCUCGAAAGCGUGGGGAGCAAACAGGAUUAGAUACCCGUGUA